UAAAUUGUUCAUUAAUUGUGAACUGGAAUGAAGGAAAAAAUGGCUUAAAUCUGUCUUAAAAAUAAAUAUUGAAUUUAAAUUUUUUGUAAAAAUACAAAAAUAUUAUUUAGGGACAAGAAGACCCUAUAAAGCUUUUUUGAUUUUUUAUAUUUAAUAUAUAUAUUAAAACAAUUUGAUUGGGGCAAUAAUUUAUUAAUAAUAAAUAUAAAUUAAAUUCUUUUAUAAAAUUUUUUAAUAUAAUGAUCCAUUAUUAAUGAAAAAAUGAUUAAGUUACUUUAGGGAUAACAGGAUAAUUUUUAUUAGAAAGUUCUUAUUAAUAAUAAAGUUUAUUACCUCGAUGUUGAAUUAAUUUAAUUAAAUGGUGAAGUAACUUUUUGAGUUUGACUGUUCGUCAAUUAAAUAAUUACAUGAUCUGAGUUC
rnacentral:rRNA from 1 species